rnacentral:rRNA from 1 species
AGCAGAGCACUCCUACGGGAGGCAGCAGUAGGGAAUCUUCGGCAAUGGACGAAAGUCUGACCGAGCAACGCCGCGUGAGUGAAGAAGGUUUUCGGAUCGUAAAACUCUGUUGUUAGAGAAGAACAAGUGAUAGAGUAACUGCUAUCACCUUGACGGUAUCUAACCAGAAAGCCACGGCUAACUACGUGCCAGCAGCCGCGGUAAUACGUAGGUGGCAAGCGUUGUCCGGAUUUAUUGGGCGUAAAGCGAGCGCAGGCGGUCUUUUAAGUCUGAUGUGAAAGCCCUCGGCUCAACCGAGGAAGGUCAUUGGAAACUGGAAGACUUGAGUGCAGAAGAGGAGAGUGGAAUUCCAUGUGUAGCGGUGAAAUGCGUAGAUAUAUGGAGGAACACCAGUGGCGAAGGCGACUCUCUGGUCUGUAACUGACGCUGAGGCUCGAAAGCGUGGGGAGCAAACAGGAUUAGAUACCCUGGUAG